UGGUUUCAAACUACAAUUUAGUGGCUACCCUUCACAAAUUUCACAAAUAUUGGCAAUAUUAUUAAAAGCAUGACAAAUAGUCCUGGAUCAAUGCUGGAUCCCAGCCACCUGUUUGGUAUUUUACAUUAGUUUAAAAA